UUAAAUUGAAGAGUUUGAUCAUGGCUCAGAUUGAACGCUGGCGGCAGGCCUAACACAUGCAAGUCGAACGGUAACAGGAAGCAGCUUGCUGCUUCGCUGACGAGUGGCGGACGGGUGAGUAAUGUCUGGGAAACUGCCUGAUGGAGGGGGAUAACUACUGGAAACGGUG
rnacentral:rRNA from 1 species